GGUAGGUGGCAAGCGUUGUCCGGAAUUAUUGGGCGUAAAGCGCGCGCAGGCGGUUCUUUAAGUCUGAUGUGAAAGCCCACGGCUCAACCGUGGAGGGUCAUUGGAAACUGGAGAACUUGAGUACAGAAGAGGAAAGCGGAAUUCCACGUGCAGCGGUGAAAUGCGUAGAGAUGUGGAGGAACGACCAGUGGCGAAGGCGGCUUUCUGGUCUGUAACUGACGCUGAGGCGCGAAAGCGUGGGGGAGCAAACAGGAUUAGAUACCCUGGUAGUCCACGCCGUAAACGAUGAGUGCUAAGUGUUAGGGGGUUUCCGCCCCUUAGUGCUGCAGCUAACGCAUUAAGCACUCCCGCCUGGGAGUAACGGCCGCAAGGCUG
rnacentral:rRNA from 1 species